ACUAAAAAAAAAUUCAUGAAAUACUGAUUUUGCAAUUUUGUUCGUAGAUUGAUCUGAUUUUCAAGCACAAGCCCCCACAAAAGUUUGGAGGCUAAGGUUUUGGCAAACCGAAAGGUCACAACCAGCAUAUUGGGAGUUAGCUGGGACCCUAAGGAAGCGUUUGCGCCUAAGUAUUUGAAAAUGAAUGUUGGUUUACUGAAAAAAAAUCAUGAAAUACGGAUUUUGCAAUUUUGUUCGUAGAUUGAUCUGAUUUUCAAGCACAAGCACCCACAAAAGUUUGGAGGCUAAGGUUUUGGCUAACUGAAAGGUCACAACCCGCAUAUUGGGAGUUAGCUGGGACCCUAAGGAAGCGUUUGCGCCCAAGUAUUUGAAAAUCCAUGUUGGUUUACUGAAAAAAAUUCAUGAAAUACUGAUUUUGCAAUUUUGUUCGUAGAUUAAUCUGAUUUUCAAGCACAAGCCCCCACAAAAGUUUGGAGGCUAAGAUUUUGGCAAACCCAAAGGUCACAACCCGCAUUUUGGGAGUUGGCUGGGACCCUAAGGAAGCGAUUGCUCCUAAGUAUUUGAGAACUUAUGUUGGUUUACUGAAAAAAAAAUCAUGAAAUACGGAUUUUGCAAUUUUGUUCGUAGAUUUAUCUGAUUUUCAAGCACAAGCCCCCACAAAAAUUUGGAGGCUAAGGUUUUGGCUAACUGAAAGGCCACAACCCCGCAUAUUGGGAGUUGGCUGGGACCCUAAGGAAGCGUUUGCGCCCAAGUAUUUGAAAAUCCGUGUGGGUUUACUAAAAAAAUUUCAUGAAAUACGGAUUUUGCAAUUUUGUUCGUAGAUUGAUCUGAUUUUCAAGCACAAGCCCCCACAAAAAUUUGGAGGCUAAGGUUUUGGCUAACUGAAAGGUCACAACCCGCAUAUUGGGAGUUAGCUGGGACCUUAAGGAAGCGUUUGCGCCCAAGUAUUUGAAAAUCCGUGUGGGUUUACUAAAAAAAAUUUCAUGAAAUACGGAUUUUGCAAUUUUGUUCGUAGAUUGAUCUGAUUUUCAAGCACAAGCCCCCACAAAAGUUUGGAGGCUAAGGUUUUGGCAAACCGAAAGGUCACAACCCGCAUAUUGGGAGUUAGCUGGGACCCUAAGGAAGCGUUUGCGCCCAAGUAUUUGGAAAUCCGUGUGGGUUUACUGAAAAAAAAUCAUGAAAUACGGAUUUUGCAAUUUUGUUCUUAGAUUGAUCUGAUUUUCAAGCACAAGCCCCCACAAAAGUUUGGAGGCUAAGGUUUUGGCAAACCGAAAGGUCACAACCCGCAUAUUGGGAGUUAGCUGGGACCCUAAGGAAGCGUUUGCACUUAAGUGUAUGAAAAUCCAUGUUGGUUUACUGAAAAAAAAUCAUGAAAUACGGAUUUUGCAAUUUUGUUCGUAGAUUGAUCUGAUUUUCAAGCACAAGCUCCCUCAAGAGUUUGGAGGCUAUGGUUUUGGCAAAUCGAAAGGUCACAACCCGCAUAUUGGGAGUUAGCUGGUACCCUAAGGAAGCGAUUGCUCCUAAGUAUUUGAAAAUUAAUGUUGGUUCACUGAAAAAAAUAUCAUGAAAUACGGAUUUUGCAAUUUUGUUCGUAGAUUGAUCUGAUUUUCAAGCACAAGCCCCCACAAAAGCUUGGAGGCUAAGGUUUUGGCAAACCGAAAGGUCACAACCCGCAUAUUGGGAGUUAGCUGGGACCGUAAGGAAGCGUUUGCGCCCAAGUAUUUGAAAAUGAAUGUUGGUUUACUGAAAAAAAUUCUUGAAAUACGGAUUUUGCAAUUUUGUUCUUAGAUUUAUCUGAUUUUCAAGUGUAACCUAAUUGCUUGGAUUCGGGUCGAAAGUAUCCGCGAUCCACGUGUCUGGUUACCCGUAGCUAGUGACUUAAGCGCCACCUUCAACAGAAGGGCCACUAGCACUGUUUAUGUCCGGCCAAAGACUCUUCUCUGAGGGCAGGUUGUUGUUCCCAAUCACCGUAAAUUCACUUAAUCUCCCUUUCCAAACCCAACCAAUCUUAGGGGACGUUCAAAAAUUACGUCGAUCAUUUGGGGGAGGGGGGGGGUCUACAAAAGUGUGACACUACGUGUAUUAGGUAUGGGAAAAUGCGUGACAGAGGGGGGAGGGGGGGUCUAGAAAUCCCAAAAAUGUAUGGACGUAAUAUUUGAAUCUUCCCUUAAACCAAUCAGAAAACCGAAGCUAGAACUGAGACCUAAAAUACUAUAAAAUCAUCGCACUUCAUAUUAAAAAACUCGAGCACUGAUGGAGACGCAUGGUUACUUAAAAUGAUUGAAAUAAUAUUUACAAAAAAAGGAUUAACUCAGGCAAUUGAAAGAAAUUCAACUUGAAAACUUAAUUCUAAAACGCUUCCCAAAGAAAAUAAAGAAAAACUAAAGAAAAUUCAAGUUCAAUUUUUAAAAUUUAAUUCGCGAAAAAGUGUGAAAGCAAAAACUAGGAACUAAGGUAUUUAACUACUACGUGUAUUUACAAUAUUUUACAAAUUCCCCCAACUUUUUUCAGAGCUCAUUCUUCUUCGAGUGCACAAAACUAAAACGGGCUUACUUGCUGGCCAGCUGGCUUGGGUUCCAACGAAGGAUGGCUUCACGUGGCGUCGACGCACUUCAGUUCCUCGGAGCGGUUCGGGAAUCGCCGUAUUCUAAGAGGCCGCACAGCAGAUUCUUCGGGAAAAUUGUCCCGGAAUCGUGGGUGGUGGACCGCUGCUUGCCAGUUAGCGACGACCGAGCGUGGGACGGCCACGUACUUUGGGCUCCAGACAAACACCCACGUUGAAUGGGUUUAGCCACCUUUAAGUACGGCCGAUUUUACUUCACACUCUUUUUGACGUUAUUGAACCACUUCCGAAUAAACUAUUCAAAAAAUCAAUUAACCGUUUUAAGAUUCAACAACUUACACUUUUACGUUUUCAAAUCAACCACCUUGAACAACGGUUUCCACCAGAGUAAAGAGAGUUUGAUAUGAGUGCCCCAACCCCUUUUAUAGGUUCAGCCCACUGAUCAGUACUGUCUACUUUCCUGAUUUCUGAUUGGUCCAAAUAUGGUUUCCGGUUUUUCUUUUGAAAUUUAUAGUGAAUUUUGAUUGGCUGGAAAAAGGGUUUCCGGUUUCGGGUUGUCUUUCCAUAGUCUAGCACUUCUUCUCGAAUUUCCAAAUUAUUCGAGUACGAAAGAAAAGCGCAUAAAGAAUUCCGCCUGCGGGUAUGCAAUGUACGUGCUUUUUAAAGGUUAUCGUUUUAGUACUCGAGCGGACAUACCGAUUCCUACCACUAGGUGUCUCUAAACGCCACAACGAUAAAACGAACAAACUGUUGGGCAUACACGGUAAACCAAAAUUGAACAGAUUAAAAAAAAGAAUUAUUUAAACAAUUUUAAAAUUGUUUUAAUAAUAACAAGCACAUGUUACAAAGACAUUUGUUACAUUCGCCCCUACUAAUUUUUCCAAAUUUAAAAAUACGCUACACACUUUCACGCAACAACUAUGAAAUGAAUAUUGACCUUUUUUUUAUUAGAAUGUUUAUCUAUAUUUACAAUCUUUAUGUGACAACUGCGGACCUAAAUUUAACUUUUUGAAAAAAAAAAAUACUAUUUACAAGUGUCAAUCGUUUCAACUUGUAGCUAUCUUGUCUUGGAGAUUAAUUGGUGAUUCCUCAACUUAAAUCGCAAACAUUCCAUCUCACAUUCAUACAACUAUACUAAGAUUGCCUUAAUUGCUACGCAAUAGGCAAUUCUCCCCUUACCCAAUUUUGAAUUACUCCAUACAUAAUGGAAGAAAAUGAAUGACCGACAUGGAAAUUAUUAUCCAAUAACUUCAUAAAUAUAUGAAAGAAAUAAUUACCGACUGUUGCUUAUCCAGCAUAACUUCAUAAAAAUAUGAAAGAAAUAAUCUCAACUUAUUUUCUAACCAAUUCUAACCCCUUUCAUGUACACAUUACUAAACGCAUUCAUUAUUAUCGUUUCGGAAAUCACAUGGGCUAUUGCAUAACUUCUGGGGUUACUGGAUGUUUUCGAACUUCGUAUCUUAUUGGAAUCUAUUGGAAUGGGUGGUAGCAUUCCUAUCGCAAAACGGGUGGGGUGGUAACGGGUGGUUUAUUUACAUUGAACUGUCAGAAGUGAAAGAAUGAGAUUUUCCUUUUGUACCGGAUAUAUUGUGAUGAAAUAUAAUAUUGUGAACGGAAACCUAGUGAUCGAUCAUGUUUUCUGCAAAAUUUUAAGGUAAGCUUGUGAAUUUUAAUUCGUGUGACCAUUUAUCAUGAAACUUUAUAAUUUGUAGCUAACGUGGAAAACAAUUGGAAAGCGGAUGGAAUAAUUUCUACUGAAUACGGUAACAAAAAAGAAUGGGUUCGGCAGAAAUGGAAUGGCUUGAACUGUCAGAUUGUUUCAACGCUGCAGGUGCUACAUGAAGACUCUACAGAGUUUAUUUGAAUGCUGUACUGAUUGGACAUACUAAGCUGUACGGCGUAGUUGUUGCUGAAGUGACUGAUGGCUAUAGGAUCGAAAAAAGGACCUGGAUUACAUGGACUACUAUUGCUGCUUUGGAUCUAUUUUUGCAACUGGAGAUGGACUGAUGAAACAAAUUGACGAUUGGAUUGAGCUUAGACUACUAUGUGCAGAUUUUUUUGCUGAUCUACGCGGGAUGUUUAAUUAAGAUAAGUGUUCAGUUUUUUAUGUAUGUUUUAUCUUUAUUACCCUAAAUUAACUUACUGACCUAAUUAUUGUUUUUGUUAUGAAGAUAUUAACCUAUUUUCUUUUCUUUUUUCUUUGAGUUAGGUGUCGCGAUUGGAGCCUUGUCGUCGACUACAAGGGUUGUUUGAAUUGUUCCGUCUUCUAAUCUAUUUCUCUUCCUCUAUGGACCAUUUCCUACCCGGAGGCUCUACUGCAGGACGCGGCAUGGAUGCGACGCCUUGGAUUGUGAUGACCACUACGUGUGUUUUUAAUCUCUUGAGCUCAUUCUUCUUCGAGUGCACAAAACUAAAACGGGCUUACUUGCUGGCCAGCUGGCUUGGGUUCCAACGAAGGAUGGCUUCACGUGGCGUCGACGCACUUCAGUUCCUCGGAGCGGUUCGGGAAUCGCCGUAUUCUAAGAGGCCGCACAGCAGAUUCUUCGGGAAAAUUGUCCCGGAAUCGUGGGUGGUGGACCGCUGCUUGCCAGUUAGCGACGACCGAGCGUGGGACGGCCACGUACUUUGGGCUCCAGACAAACACCCACGUUGAAUGGGUUUAGCCACCUUUAAGUACGGCCGAUUUUACUUCACACUCUUUUUGACGUUAUUGAACCACUUCCGAAUAAACUAUUCAAAAAAUCAAUUAACCGUUUUAAGAUUCAACAACUUACACUUUUACGUUUUCAAAUCAACCACCUUGAACAACGGUUUCCACCAGAGUAAAGAGAGUUUGAUAUGAGUGCCCCAACCCCUUUUAUAGGUUCAGCCCACUGAUCAGUACUGUCUACUUUCCUGAUUUCUGAUUGGUCCAAAUAUGGUUUCCGGUUUUUCUUUUGAAAUUUAUAGUGAAUUUUGAUUGGCUGGAAAAAGGGUUUCCGGUUUCGGGUUGUCUUUCCAUAGUCUAGCACUUCUUCUCGAAUUUCCAAAUUAUUCGAGUACGAAAGAAAAGCGCAUAAAGAAUUCCGCCUGCGGGUAUGCAAUGUACGUGCUUUUUAAAGGUUAUCGUUUUAGUACUCGAGCGGACAUACCGAUUCCUACCACUAGGUGUCUCUAAACGCCACAACGAUAAAACGAACAAACUGUUGGGCAUACACGGUAAACCAAAAUUGAACAGAUUAAAAAAAAGAAUUAUUUAAACAAUUUUAAAAUUGUUUUAAUAAUAACAAGCACAUGUUACAAAGACAUUUGUUACACAAGCACAAGCCCCCACAAAAGUUUGGAAGUUAAGGAAGCGUUUGCUCCUAAGUAUUCUAAAAUCCAUGUUGGUUUACUGAAAAAAAUUCUUGAAAUACGGAUUUUGCAAUUUCGUUCUUAGAUUUAUCUGAUUUUCAAGCACAACCCCCACAAAAGUUUGGAGGCUAUGGUUUUGGCAAACCGAAAGGUCGCAACCCGCAUAUUGGGAGUUAGCUGGGACCCUAAGAAAGCGAUUGCUCCUGAGCAUUUGAAAAUCCGGGUUGGUUUAUUGAAAAAAAUUCAGGAAAUACGGAUUUUGCAAUUUUGUUCGUAGAUUGAUCUGAUUUUCAAGCACAAGCUCCCUCAAAAGUUUGGAGGCUAAGGUUUUAGCAAACCGAAAGGUCAAAACCCGCAUAUUGAGAGUUAGCUGGGACCCUAAGGAAGCGUUUGCACUCAAGUGUUUGAAAAUCCAUGUUGGUUUACUGAAAAAAAAUCAUGAAAUACGGAUUUUGCAAUUUUGUUCGUAGAUUGAUCUGAUUUUCAAGCACAAGCCCCCACAAAAGUUUGGAGGCUAUGGUUUUGGCAAGCCGAAAGGUCACAAACCGCAUAUUGGGAGUUAGCUGGGACCCUAAGGAAGCGAUUGCUCUUAAGUUUUUGAAAAUCCGUGUUGGUUUACUGAAAAAAUUUCAUGAAAUACGGAUUUUGCAAUUUUGUUCUGUUAUAACCAAAGUAGAAACCAUGAAAACGGGAGUUUUAAGAGACGUUCUUUGAGGAUGGAAAUAAUCAGCCCGUUCGGAUUCAUGGUCUACAACUUACUCAAUAUAUUUAUUGUUCUAGUUACAUGAGAUCUAUCAUAUCUGAGUACCCGUUCGUGGGUAUCGCUAUUUUACCGAGCGUGGAGUCACUACAACUCCUUUCCCCUUAGGCUAGUAUAUAAGGACAUUCUGAAAUUUCUAAAUUAAUAUAAUUAUCAUUUCAAAUUUUCAGAAUGCAAACUAUAGUUUGCAAUUUACACUCGAACGAACUAAUGUUCUUCUACACGUUCAUUAUACAUACAUUUUGUUUGUUAUUCACCCUCACUUAUCUUUAAGAUUUUUAUGUAUGUUUCCCGUAUUGAAUAAUCUAUGACUUACAGAAUUCUCCUCCGAAAAAAAAAACUUGCAAAAUUAAACAGAAUCCAAAUUUAAAAUGUGCAUUUUUACUACUGUCACAAUGUGUUGCCUUUUUAAUGGAAAAAUUAUAUACUCAAAACAAAUCUUGAAAACAAAUGCAAAAAUGCUACACGAAGAAUGAAAGAGUACUUGUCACACAAAAACACAAAAAAAAAUUGCAAAAAAAAAAAACCGUACCAGCCCUGGCGGAAAACAAUUACAAUGAUCACAAAAAAAAUGCAAAAAAAACAUACGAAUCAAACACUAGAAACUCGGCGGCUCAGCUAUCCUCCAUCACACGGCCUCCUGUCCACGGCUCACAGUAGGGAAGUCCAUUGCUUUUCUUGUGCGCCGAUAGUGUCACCAAAUGAAAGAAGGCCGAUCCAGUAUGCACCGCGUCCAAAACAUUGCGCAGCAACAACAAAAAAUGCACUUCUUUCCUCCGCUUUAGUCCAAAUACCAGAUGAGAAAACCGAGAUAACACACACUGCUGCGAAUUGAGUGUCAUCGUCUCUGGCCACAGUUGAUCGCCAAAAGGGCUUGCGACUGGCUUCGUGUUGCGAUCGUUGCGAUCAAAUGAAAAUGGUGCUCAAUAAAAAUGUCAAGAAACAAAUAUGACAAAAAACAAAGCACAAUAAAGGCCUCCAUUUUCAAUGGGUAAAUUAUCGUAUAGAGAUGAAAUUACGCUCCUCUCUCAUCAAAUAAAAACAAAAUACAAAAUGGUUUGCACUUAAACCAAGACAAAAGCGGUUUUUACGCCAUGCUAAGAAAGAGGAUCACUUUGUACUAGCAGUUUUUUAAUGCACAACUGUUUAUACCAAAUCACAAACAAGGUAGCAAACAAAAUCACGCCAAAAACGAAUAUACGCCAGGGGUCGUGAAUGU